AUUGAACGCUGGCGGCGUGCCUAAUACAUGCAAGUCGAGCGGAGCGGGGACGGGUGAGUAACAUGUGGAUAACCGCCUAUAAAAUUGGGAUAAUAUAGGAAAACCGGAGCAAAACCGGAAACUUCCAGAUUGAUCCGUGCUGCAUUAGCUAGUUGGUAAGGUAACGGCUUACUAAGCCAACGAUGCAUAGCCGACCUGAGAGGGUGACCUGCCACUCUGGAACUGAGACACGGUCCAGACGACUACGAGAGGCAGCAGUAGGGAAUGUUCCGCAAUGGGCGAAAGCCUGACGAAGCAACGCCGCGGGUGUGAGGAAGGUCUGCGGGUCGUAAAACUCUUUUAUUAGGGAAGCGGUACCUUUUCAGAAAGCCCCGGCUAACUACGUGCCAGCAGCCGCGGUAAUUC
rnacentral:rRNA from 1 species